rnacentral:rRNA from 1 species
AUAACGGUCCUAAGGUAGCGAAAUUCCUUGUCAGGUAAGUUCUGACCCGCACGAAUGGCGUAAUGAUUUGGGCACUGUCUCAACAGCCCGCCCGGCGAAAUUGUAGUACUGGUGAAGAUGCCAGUUACCCGCAACUAGACGGAAAGACCCCAUGGAGCUUUACUGCAGCUUAAUACUGAGAUUCGGUAAUUCAUGUACAGGAUAGGUGGGAGACUUAGAAGCAGAGUCGUUAGGCGCUGUGGAGUCACCCUUGGGAUACCACCCUUGGAUUGCUGGGUUUCUAACCUGCGGCCAUGAAUCUGGUCGGGGGACACUGUUAGGCGGGCAGUUUGACUGGGGCGGUCGCCUCCUAAAGUGUAGCGGAGGCGCUCAAAGCUUGGCUCAGCAUGGAUGGAAAUCAUGCAAUGAGUGUAAACGUAUAAGCCAAGUUGACUGCGAGACCGACGGGUCGAGCAGGUACGAAAGUAGGAGUUAGUGAUCCGGUGGUAUGUGAGUGGAAAUGCCAUCGCUCAACGGAUAAAAGCUACCCUGGGGAUAACAGGCUGAUCUCCCCCAAGCGUCCACAGCGACGGGGAGGUUUGGCACCUCGAUGUCGGCUCGUCGCAUCCUGGGGCUGUAUUCGGUCCCAAGGGUUUGGCUGUUCGCCAAUUAAAGCGGCACGCGAGCUGGGUUCAGAACGUCGUGAGACAGUUCGGUCCCUAUCUGUUGCGGGCGUAAGAGAUUUGAAGGGAGCUGUCCUUAGUACGAGAGGACCGGGAUGGACUGACCGCUGGUGCACCAGUUGUUCUGCCAAGAGCAUAGCUGGGUAGCUACGUCGGGACGAGAUAAACGCUGAAGGCAUCUAAGCGUGAAACUCCCCCUAAGAUAAGAUCUCUCAUCCUUUAUGGAGUAAGGCUCGUCGUAGACUAUGACGUUGAUAGGUCAGAGGUGGAAGCGCCGUAAGGUGUGUAGCUGACUGAUACUAAUAAGCCGAGGGCUUGACCU